GGAUUAGAUACCCUGGUAGUCCACGCCGUAAACGAUGUCAACUAGCCGUUGGUCCUAUUAAAAGGAUUAGUGGCGCAGCUAACGCGAUAAGUUGACCGCCUGGGGAGUACGGCCGCAAGGCUAAAACUCAAAUGAAUUGACGGGGGCCCGCACAAGCGGUGGAGCAUGUGGUUUAAUUCGAUGCAACGCGAAGAACCUUACCAUCCCUUGACAUCCUCAGAACUUGUCAGAGACGACUUGGUGCCUUCGGGAACUGAGAGACAGGUGCUGCAUGGCUGUCGUCAGCUCGUGCCG
rnacentral:rRNA from 1 species